rnacentral:tRNA from 1 species
GGGGUUGUAGCUCAGUGGUAGAGUCCUUGCCUAGCAUGUAUGAGGCACUGGGUUUGAUUCACAGCACUACA